rnacentral:rRNA from 1 species
CAAUAGCGUAUAUUAAAGUUGUUGCAGUUAGAACGCUCGUAGUCGGAUUUCAGGGCGGGCCGACCGGUCUGCCGAUGGGUACGCACUGGUCGGCGCGUCCUUCCUUCCGGAGACCGUUCCUACUCUUAACUGAGCGGGGGCGGGAGACGGAUCGUUUACUUUGAAAAAAUCAGAGUGUUUCAAGCAGGCAGCUCGCUCUUGCAUGGAUUAGCAUGGGAUAAUGAAAUAGGACUUUGGUGCUAUUUUGUUGGUUUCGAACACCGAAGUAAUGAUUAAAAGGGACAGUCAGGGGCACUCGUAUUCCGCCGAGAGAGGUGAAAUUCUCAGACCAGCGGAAGACGAACUACUGCGAAAGCAUUUGCCAGGGAUGUUUUCACUGA